rnacentral:piRNA from 1 species
UCCUGUUGAGUGUGUAACCUUGGGUAAA